UAGGGAAUCUUCGGCAAUGGACGGAAGUCUGACCGAGCAACGCCGCGUGAGUGAAGAAGGUUUUCGGAUCGUAAAGCUCUGUUGUAAGAGAAGAACGAGUGUGGGAGUGGAAAGUUCACACUGUGACGGUAUCUUACCAGAAAGGGACGGCUAACUACGUGCCAGCAGCCGCGGUAAUACGUAGGUCCCGAGCGUUGUCCGGAUUUAUUGGGCGUAAAGCGAGCGCAGGCGGUUAGAUAAGUCUGAAGUUAAAGGCUGUGGCUUAACCAUAGUAGGCUUUGGAAACUGUUUAACUUGAGUGCAAGAGGGGAGAGUGGAAUUCCAUGUGUAGCGGUGAAAUGCGUAGAUAUAUGGAGGAACACCGGUGGCGAAAGCGGCUCUCUGGCUUGUAACUGACGCUGAGGCUCGAAAGCGUGGGGAGCAAACAGGAUUAGAUACCCUGGUAGUCCACGCUGUAAACGAUGAGUGCUAGGUGUUAGACCCUUUCCGGGGUUUAGUGCCGUAGCUAACGCAUUAAGCACUCCGCCUGGGGAGUACGACCGCAAGGUUG
rnacentral:rRNA from 1 species